rnacentral:tRNA from 1 species
UCACUGGUGGUCCAGUGGUUAGGACGCGGCGCUUUUACUGCCAUGACCCAGGUUCAAUUCUUGGUCAGAGAA